AUUGAACGCUGGCGGCAGGCCUAACACAUGCAAGUCGAACGAGUGGCGGACGGGUGAGUAAUGUCUGGGAAACUACCCGAUGGAGGGGGAUAACUACUGGAAACGGUAGCUAAUACCGCAUACCAUCGGAUGUGCCCAGAUGGGAUUAGCUAGUAGGUGGGGUAACGGCUCACCUAGGCGACGAUCCCUAGCUGGUCUGAGAGGAUGACCAGCCAAACGGGAACUGAGACACGGUCCAGACUCAUACGGGAGGCGGCAGUGGGGAAGAUGGCACAAUGGGCGCAAGCUUGAUGCAGCCUUGCCGCGUGUAUGAAGAAGGCCUUCGGGGUGUAAAGUACUUUCAGCGAGGAGACGUUACUCGAAGAAGAAGCACCGGCUAACUCCGUGCCAGCAGCCGCGGUAAUUC
rnacentral:rRNA from 1 species